AUACGUAGGGUGCGAGCGUUAAUCGGAAUUACUGGGCGUAAAGCGUGCGCAGGCGGUUUUGUAAGACAGAGGUGAAAUCCCCGGGCUCAACCUGGGAACUGCCUUUGUGACUGCAAGGCUAGAGUACGGCAGAGGGGGAUGGAAUUCCGCGUGUAGCAGUGAAAUGCGUAGAUAUGCGGAGGAACACCGAUGGCGAAGGCAAUCCCCUGGGCCUGUACUGACGCUUAUGCACGAAAGCGUGGGGAGCAAACAGGAUUAGAUGCCCUGGUAGUCCACGCCCUAAACGAUGUCAACUGGUUGUUGGGUCUUCAUUGACUCAGUAACGAAGCUAACGCGUGAAGUUGACCGCCUGGGGAGUACGGCCGCAAGGUUGAAACUCAAAUGAAUUGACGGGG
rnacentral:rRNA from 1 species